rnacentral:tRNA from 1 species
AUCUAGUUAGCUUAAUUACUAAAGCUUAUUGUUCUUAACUAUAAUAAGGAAGAGAAUAACUUCCACUAGAUU